rnacentral:rRNA from 1 species
UACGAAGGGUGCAAGCGUUAAUCGGAAUUACUGGGCGUAAAGGGUGCGUAGGCGGUUCGUUAAGUCUGUCGUGAAAUCCCCGGGCUCAACCUGGGAAUGGCGAUGGAUACUGGCGAGCUAGAGUGUGUCAGAGGAUGGUGGAAUUCCCGGUGUAGCGGUAAAAUGCGUAGAGAUCGGGAGGAACAUCAGUGGCGAAGGCGGCCAUCUGGGACAACACUGACGCAGAAGCACGAAAGCGUGGGGAGCAAACAGG